rnacentral:tRNA from 1 species
UAGCUCAGUGGUAGAGCACUUGCCUAGCAUGCAUGAAGCACUGAGUUAAAUUCUCAG